UUUUUUUUUUUUGCCAAGGAUGACUUUUUCAGAACAAUUUGUUGUAGAAGAUUUGGUUUGUAUUUUAGAUCUUCCAUUGGUCUGUCCUGUAAGAUAAUUCAGUAUAAUUAGUUUAGCUUUGUUAGAUGUUUGUUAUUAUUAGAUUGGGGAAAUUUCAACACUGCUUGCUCGCUAGCCAAGAUUAAUCGAGGAUUUUACAAGCUACUUGGCGUUGGAGAAUGGUUAUUGCUCGUGGGUGAAUGGAAGAUAAAAUCUGGAACAAGUAUCACUCGUCUCUGCCGAGUCUUUUCAUUAAUGGAAGGUCUUGUAUUAUUUCUGUUUUUCAUUCGCUUCUGAAUUCAGCAUUUUUUUCAAUAGUUGCAUUAUGCAGUGCUAAUUCUUUAUAUCUAUUGAGGUCUUUUUUUAGUAUGAUUACGUGAUUGGACAAAGUUUCUAUUUAGGGUUUAGGGUGGAUGGAUGUCUAAUUAAUUAUGUUUUCUCACUGAUUUGUCACCGAAGUUUGGAAUACUAUGUUCUAUUAUUACUCGGAAAAAAAAAAAA
rnacentral:misc_RNA from 1 species